rnacentral:rRNA from 1 species
AUGUAUGUUCGCAACUUGGCGCGUCGGUUCCACCGCAACAAAUCUCCAACCCUGCUCUUCAAGCUAGACAUGGAGAAAGCCUUUGACUUAGUUACAUGGGACUAAUUGAUGGAUUUAUUGAGGCAUCACAACUUUCCAAGCCGAUUCCGCGACUGGAUUUCCGCUCUCCUUUCCACGGCCUCCUCCAGAGUCCUUCUCAACGGUGUUGCAGGUGACCCAAUCAUGCAUGGACGUGGUCUUCGUCAGGGGGAUCCUCUCUCCCCCUCCUUUUCGUCCUAG